AUGAGCAUAUCAGAAAGCAAACAGCUCAGGCCUGGAGGUAACAAAAAGAACCCAAAAGAAUUGAGAAAGGACAAUUUACUGAAAACCAGUGUGGCAUCAAAAUUCACUGAUGGCUUCAUUCAGUUAGAAACACGACAUAAACCAACGCAAGAAAAAAUAAAUACUCUAAGCAGCAGAGCUAAAGGGUAUAUAGAAUCUGAAAAACAGAUUUUUCAUGUUGGCCCCAGGAGUCAAGUCACUGUUACAUUAGAUGAUGUCAUGAAAAUAGGGGCUGACCAUAUUUAGCAACACUCACAGCAGGCAGGAAUACUUCAGACUCCCAAGACAAUAUCAGGAGAUGUCAAUCACCACUAUGUGUUUUUGCACAGUACUGGGUGGACAGAGAAUAACGCUGCUGUUUUAAUGGGUUUAUCCUGGAUUGGUCCCAGCAUAUAAAAUAAAACAAUACUAUAAGCCACUUCUGCACUUUGACAUGCAGAUAUAUACCAGGGUGGUGUUCUCAAACAAUGCCCUCUGCCCCCUUCCCAAGAGGGCAUUUACCACUGUCUGGGGACUUUUUGAUUAUUACAGUGUGUGAGGAAGGGUGUUAUUGGCAUGUCGGUGGAGGCAUUCUACAAUGUGCAGCAAGCCCCCAUAGCUACGAAUCAUGCAACCCCAAAUAUCUACAGUGCGGAGUUGGAAAAACUUUGCGCUAGAGGAGGCUAUUGCAUUUGUGACCUGAGGGAAAGCCUUGGUCACUGCCUUUUGGAGUUCUCCACUUUCCCAAACACCAACUCUCCGGGAUCAUGGCUGCUGGCACAGAGGUCACUAGCAGGCCUAGAACUCUGAACAAGGUAGAGACGCCAUUGUUUAUUUUUCUUUCCACCUGAAACAAUAAAGCAGACUGUACGGUCAGGUAUCAGGUCGCUUGGGGUUUUCUGACACCGACACAGCAGGGUCCUUUGGCGCCCGGGGUUUCUGGCUGGGUUUGCCCCCCAACCCCCACAGCAGUGUGCGCAACCGUUACCCCAGCGGUGAGAAAAGCAAAACACUUGGGUACUGAGGCGUUUUCUGUAACGUCAUUUAUUUAGUCUAGAUGAGAAAUUUUGCUCUUUAAGAACAGGAAGGCUGCGUGAAUUCCCAGAAGCUGGAAAUCGGGCCAGAGGAUACUUGUCCACUGGGGAAGCUGAUCACUUUGAGUUUACUUAUAAGGAUAAGGCAAGGGAGGGGGCGGUGGAAACCCCCGAUCUGGCCGAUUUUCUACUGCUGGAAACUCCUCGACCUUGGAGUGCUCCGUCCUGAAGGAGAACCGGCGCCCGCGGUAGGAAGGUCACGUCGCAAGAGCUGUUUCCCGACGGGACCGUCCCACUGUCCCGCCUCGCGUCAGGGCGAGGCGGUCUCCUUUCCCCAACUCCUGAGCGCCUCAGGAAACCCUGGACUUCAGCGGCUACGACGAAGGGGAAACCGGCCGGAGCGGUCCCAGCACGGCGGGGGACGCCGGGCGCGCGGGAAGCAGUAGGAAAAGGCGGGAUUCUGCCUUUGUCUGUCCGGCCUAACCGCGGAGCCCCGCCGCGCGCAGCCCUCCCUCCAGACGCCCCAAAGUCCUAGCAUUGUACCCUGGAGGCCGCUCGGCGCGGCGGGGCAGGGGCGGGGCGCACAUAGACCACGCCCACGGGGCUUUAAAAGGUGCCCGGCGCAGCGGGGCGGGGCGCACAUAGGCCACACCCACUGUAUUUUAAGAGGUACCGGUGCGGCGGGGCGGGGCGCACCGGGGUGGGGGCGGGGUGCACAGAGGCCACACCCACGGGGGCUUUAAAAGGUACCGGCGCUCCCCGCCGGGUUGCCAGACUCCCGCUGCCGUUUCUGUGACCUGUUCUCGAGCCCUCAGCGUGGUCCCCCUUCCGAUUUGAGUGAGUAACCGGAGUAAGGCGAUGGGGGUGUUCCGCCGAU
ensembl:lncRNA